CGGAAAAGAAGCCGAGGAAGAUUCUGUCACUGGUAUAUUACUUGGUAUAGGCAUUGCAGUGGUAUUUUUGCUUGUCAUUUGUUAUGUUGUUUGGAGAUGUAAACGUAAGCAAAAAGGUAAUGAAAAAGCAGAGACGUAUAUAAGUAUCGCAAAAAUCAAAAAUGGACCAAUGGGGAUAGAGCAAUGAGCUUUACCGGGAAAAAUAAAUACAUUUAACAAUGGUAAAAUAAGUCUGCUAUGCAGAAAGUAUUUGAGCAGAGCAAUUGAAGACAGACAUCUUAAAAAAAGAGGUGGGAUGAGGUACCAAAGACAAUAAAAGAUACCAGUGAAUCUGCUCUACUAAUUGGCAUCAAAUCUUGCCUAAAAUAAGCUAUUGUGAAUGGAAUUAUCCUUGAUGCAUUAAUCAAUUUAUCAUACAGGUUAUGCAAGUAAAUUGCUGUAUAUUAAAGGGAAUUUGGCGUAAGAAAAAUCCGUUAUCACUUAGUUAAUUAAAAUUGGUUGUA